AGCUGCUCUCGGCUCGUCGGUCGCGGCGCCCGCAGUCUGGAGGCGCACCGGAGCGGCCGGGGCGCCCCCCGCGGGAGCCCGCAGCCACCCGGGACGCGCAUCCAGCCGUGGCGCUUCGGGCCGGGCACGCUGCGUCCGGGGGCUCGGAGGACCCCGCGUAGCCGCCGCUUCGGAGCCUGUGCGGCGCGGGCUGGCCAGCGGGGUGGCCAGGGCCCGGCCCGCCUCCCCAGCGCCCGCCCGGCUUCUCCCCCUGGCGGUGGGAGCCUCGGCGGCCGCUGGCGACACUAGGCGCACUGAAGCCCGAGCCGAGCCGAGCCCGAGCCGCCGCAGCCGCCGCUGCUGCGCGCCGCUCCCGGGCUCCCUCCCAGCGCGCCGGCCGGGGUGUGGGGGGCGGCGGGCCGGAGGGCUGAGGGCGGGCCAGGGGGCGCACACGGGGGUUGGCGCGGAAGACAGGACCCUCAGCCUCGAGGGAGCCCCUAGGUGACCAGGCAAAAUGACAGUUCCCUCCAGCUGGUCCUCAGAUGGGCACAUCUAUUAGCCUCUGCUCUUGUAAGAAGUUAGCUGCAGAACCCACGUGUGAAUCCUUGUAGGACUCUGGAGAAGAUCAAAUGGGAGCUUGGAUGUGGAAGCUCUUUGGAAACCAAGAAGCACUCUGCAAAUGAAAAGGGAACAGUUUGUGGACUGGCACUGGCCCUUGGACCACACUUCGAGUGACAUUGUUAUAGAUGACACGGUCUCUUAUAGGAAAAUGCACAGUCUU